CAGGGGGGCAGCUACACAUGCAGUCGAGCGAGAACUUCGGUUCUAGCGGCGGACGGGUUAGUAACGCGUGGGAACGUGCCCUUCACUACGGAAUAGUCCCGGGAAACUGGGUUUAAUACCGUAUACGCCCUUCGGGGGAAAGAAUUUCGGUGAAGGAUCGGCCCGCGUUAGAUUAGAUAGUUGGUGGGGUAACGGCCUACCAAGUCUACGAUCUAUAGCUGGUUUUAGAGGAUGAUCAGCAACACUGGGACUGAGACACGGCCCAGACUCCUACGGGAGGCAGCAGUGGGGAAUCUUAGACAAUGGGCGCAAGCCUGAUCUAGCCAUGCCGCGUGAGUGAUGAAGGCCUUAGGGUCGUAAAGCUCUUUCGCCAGGGAUGAUAAUGACAGUACCUGGUAAAGAAACCCCGGCUAACUCCGUGCCAGCAGCCGCGGUAAUACGGAGGGGGUUAGCGUUGUUCGGAAUUACUGGGCGUAAAGCGCGCGUAGGCGGAUUGGAAAGUUGGGGGUGAAAUCCCAGGGCUCAACCCUGGAACUGCCUCCAAAACUAUCAGUCUAGAGUUCGAGAGAGGUGAGUGGAACUCCGAGUGUAGAGGUGAAAUUCGUAGAUAUUCGGAAGAACACCAGUGGCGAAGGCGGCUCACUGGCUCGAUACUGACGCUGAGGUGCGAAAGUGUGGGGAGCAAACAGGAUUAGAUACCCUGGUAGUCC
rnacentral:rRNA from 1 species